AGUGAACGCUGGCGGUAGGCCUAACACAUGCAAGUCGAACGGCAGCACAGUAAGAGCUUGCUCUUACGGGUGGCGAGUGGCGGACGGGUGAGGAAUACAUCGGAAUCUACUUUUUCGUGGGGGAUAACGUAGGGAAACUUACGCUAAUACCGCAUACGACCUACGGGUGAAAGCAGGGGAUCUUCGGACCUUGCGCGAUUGAAUGAGCCGAUGUCGGAUUAGCUAGUUGGCGGGGUAAAGGCCCACCAAGGCGACGAUCCGUAGCUGGUCUGAGAGGAUGAUCAGCCACACUGGAACUGAGACACGGCCCAGACUCCUACGGGAGGCAGCAGUGGGGAAUAUUGGACAAUGGGCGCAAGCCUGAUCCAGCCAUACCGCGUGGGUGAAGAAGGCCUUCGGGUCGUAAAGCCCUUUUGUUGGGAAAGAAAAGCAGCAGGUUAAUACCCCGCUGUUCUGACGGUACCCAAAGAAUAAGCACCGGCUAACUUCGUG
rnacentral:rRNA from 1 species